CAGCCGUAAACUAUGCGCGUUAGGUGUAUCGGUGACCACGAGUCACCGAGGUGCCGAAGGGAAACCGUGAAACGUGCCGCCUGGGAAGUACGGUCGCAAGGCUGAAACUUAAAGGAAUUGGCGGGGGAGCACCACAACAGGGUGGAGCCUGCGGUUUAAUUGGACUCAACGCCGGGAAGCUCACCGGAUAGGACAGCAGAAUGAUUGCCGGGCUGAAGACUCUGCAUGACUAGCUGAGAGGAGGUGCAUGGCGUAGACGUC
rnacentral:rRNA from 1 species